UAAAAGAUAAGCUAAACAAGCUGAAGGGUUCAUACCCCUUUUAUGGCCCGAGCCUCUUUUAA
rnacentral:tRNA from 1 species